UCUUGAUUUCGUUGUAAAAAUUAAUUGCACCCGAAUUCACUUGGGUAUCAACUUUGACCCCUUAUGUCUCAGUCAUCCCUUGUUUUAUUUAUUUUUGCAAAAAAAUAAUUGCCGGUUUAUUUUCUAAAUGCAAACACGUCCUCGGGUAUGAUAAACUCGUAACGGAACUCCGCACGCUGUUCCAGUAGCUUCUUCUUUGGAUGAUGGGAAUAAAAAAAGAAAAAUGAUUCAGCAAUAACAGCAACCGACAACCAGCAAUAUAUUCCUCUUCCCUACCAUCAGCAACGGUCGCGUCCCAAUGGUUUUAGCUGCAUAUGGCUCAGAUGGCCCGAUGGUGGGGAUCGACCCAGAUAUCAGUCUUUCGAAGGCCCUACUACCCAACGGCACAACUUACCUGCCGAGCAGUUGCGGCGUCGAGUUAAUCGACGCUCGAGUAUAGAGCGUCGCGACGCGUCGUAUCGACGGAAACGUUAAAAAAAAAAUAAAAUAAAAUAAAUCGUGAACAGUCUUAAUAGAAUCCGCUAUUUUUACGUGAAUAAAAAUUAAAUUUUUUUUUAAUUAUUCAAAAAUCGAGUGCAGCCUGUUUACGUUUGUGCACAGUGAAUCCAAUCGGAUAAAAAAUUUGUGAUAACGGUACCUCAGUGAUAACCAUAUGAAAAUUUCGUAAAAUCGGGUACACCUUAACGAUUAAGGAAUUUCAUACUUGUUACGCAAAAGGAAUUGCGUACUUUGAUCAAAACUCCACCAGCAGGCAAACCUAGCCAACUGUGAAUUCUAUCGCAAGUAGCGGAAUGGCCACCCGAUAAAACACUUUGGAACGAAUUUCUCAUUCUCAAAGAGAGAGCCCACCAUUUCGAUUUUCUCGACCUUGUCAGAAUGGACAGUUAGCUCGUACCUAGUUCCUUGCACGUUCCCAUUUUUCGAUUUUUUUUUUUUUUUUUUUGGAUCGUCAGAAUCCAUAGUCGUAGCUGUAUAGUGUAUAUAAGCGAUAUGGGAUCCAGAUGAAAAUGAACCGGAGAAAAGUGAAGGCAGGUUCACAAGCCUGCGAGAAUAUUUUCUUAGGAAAGUUUUUUAGGCCUCUCCCAUUCGUAAGAUGAGAAUUUAGUCGACGCGAUAAUUAUAAUUAAACAUGCAUAUUGUUCUUCCGCUGUUUAUCCCACGAGAGUCCUUCGCUUCGUUUCUUUCUCACGGCUCCCGUAGAGGAGAGUCGUGUGCCUGAGGUCGUGAUGACGAUGACGAUCAUCACAAUGAUUAUGAUGAUUGUAGUGGUGCCGGCGAUUAUGGUAAAAACGAAAAUGAACUGUGAGCGAAAAUGAGCUACUUCAUCCGUGCCGGGACGAGUGCAUGGGUACUUUGUUGAGUUUGUAUAAAAUUUUCACGCAGCUUCCCACAAUCAGCUGCAUCUUCAGUGAGAUCGUUAUGAAUUUUUAUAUGGAUCUUCCCGGGAUUUCUCCUGAAACCAAUUUUUUUUUUUUUUUUUUUUUUUUU